rnacentral:ncRNA from 2 species
AAACAUCAUCAAGAGAAGGGCUGGCGCCCUCGCCAACCUGCCAACCGGGCAAGGUGGUUUCCGCAUUUAGGGAUGUGGCUGACAUCAGGUUUUUCUGGAUGUUCGGCAACCAAGCGGUGUUAC